ensembl:lncRNA
UUUAGACCUGGGACACCAGGUGUGUGCAAUUAAUGAUUAGGUGGACCAGAAAAUCAGCAGGCUCCGGAUCUUGAAGGGAAGCAGUUUAAUUCCCCUGGCAACUAUUACCUGACAACUCUGCCAUGUUACAAGUGUGAAGCAUCCAAGGGCACGCUGUUUCACAGCUUCACCUUAAGCCCUAAAACAGCCUCUUGUCUGGAGGUUUUGGGACCCUCCCCAGGGUGUUCAGAGACCCAGCUGAUGACCUGAUCUUGCCUGCUACCUCUUGCAGAUCGGACAAAAAAGAGAAAUGGCAGUUGUCACAAAGUGCUUUUACACCCAGCCUGAAACCCCAAGGAGCAAGCAACCACAGAGCUGAUGCAGAACCCUGAAGACCCACACCUGCCCUCUGGACUCAGAGCUCAGGCCCUCACACCUCUAUAAAGCACACAAAUACCGACAGUGUGUCUGUGUAUGUCUGCUAAAUAAACAAAACAAACAUCCGAAGAGAGGGACUGGACAGUACACGGACAAACAAAAAGAAAAGGACGUGACACUGGACAAUGGGAAAGGGGAGGGGCUAGGGGUAGGCUUGUUUGAACAGACAAGGCUUGAGGUGGUGGAUGAAGAUGGCAACAGAUUCAGAGUCACGGAUA